rnacentral:rRNA from 1 species
AUCUUGCGCAAUGGCCUAACGGCUGACGCAGCGUCGCCGCGUGGGGGAGGAAGGGCUUCGGCUCGUAAACCCCUGUUGCCCGGGGCGACCAUCCCUUUUCGAGGGGACUGACGGUACCGGGGGAGGAAGCACCGGCUAAACCCGUGCCAGCAGCCGCGGUACUACGGAGGGUGCGAGCGUUGUCCGGAAUCACUGGGCGUAAAGGGCGCGUAGGCGGCUUCUCAAGCGCGCGGGGAAAGCCCGGGGCUCAACCCCGGGUCGGCCGUGCGGACUGGGGGGCUCGAGCACUGUAGGGGCGGGUGGAAUUCCGGGUGUAGCGGUGGAAUGCGUGGAGACCCGGAAGAACACCGGUGGCGAAGGCGGCCCGCUGGGCAGGAAGAGAGCGCAAGCUCUCGGCUGACGCUGAGGCGCGACAGCGUGGGGAGCAAAC